rnacentral:rRNA from 1 species
UAUACAUGCAAGUUGAGCGAUGAAGAUUGGUGCUUGCACCAAUUUGAAGAGCAGCGAACGGGUGAGUAACGCGUGGGGAAUCUGCCUUUGAGCGGGGGACAACAUUUGGAAACGAAUGCUAAUACCGCAUAAUAACUUUAAACAUAAGUUUUAAGUUUGAAAGAUGCAAUUGCAUCACUCAAAGAUGAUCCCGCGUUGUAUUAGCUAGUUGGUGAGGUAAAGGCUCACCAAGGCGAUGAUACAUAGCCGACCUGAGAGGGUGAUCGGCCACAUUGGGACUGAGACACGGCCCAAACUCCUACGGGAGGCAGCAGUAGGGAAUCUUCGGCAAUGGACGAAAGUCUGACCGAGCAACGCCGCGUGAGUGAAGAAGGUUUUCGGAUCGUAAAACUCUGUUGGUAGAGAAGAACGUUGGUGAGAGUGGAAAGCUCAUCAAGUGACGGUAACUACCCAGAAAGGGACGGCUAACUACGUGCCAGCAGCCGCGGUAAUACGUAGGUCCCGAGCGUUGUCCGGAUUUAUUGGGCGUAAAGCGAGCGCAGGUGGUUUAUUAAGUCUGGUGUAAAAGGCAGUGGCUCAACCAUUGUAUGCAUUGGAAACUGGUAGACUUGAGUGCAGGAGAGGAGAGUGGAAUUCCAUGUGUAGCGGUGAAAUGCGUAGAUAUAUGGAGGAACACCGGUGGCGAAAGCGGCUCUCUGGCCUGUAACUGACACUGAGGCUCGAAAGCGUG